rnacentral:sRNA from 1 species
UUUCAUUUCCUUACUGCUUGUUUCCAAGAGGACAACUACUCAGAAAUUGAGCACCAGCAUCCAGGGAUAUGGUCUCUCGGGAGAGGGUCAAGAGGUACUGAUGGAAACAUUUGCAGCAUCAUUUCUUCUGAGGCUGCACAGGAGGCCACUUGUCCAGUAAUUAGGGAUGGCUCCUCUUGAAGAAAUUCCUGAGGAAUGUUGGCAAAAGUCUAAGUGCUAGAAUUUGGGGAAAUGGAUUAUCCUGUGGUCCUGAAAUUAUCAGUGGUCCUUUCGAUGAUUGCCAUUCUCUUGGAAUGGAAGAUAUAUUACAUAUAUUCACACUGAGUAACCACUGCCCUACAUUCUUGUUGCUGUGCAUUCUGCUCCAUUGUAGGUCAAUCAAUCAACCAACCAACCAACCAAUCAAUCAAUUCAUCAAUCAAUCACAGAAAUCAAAGAACAUGGAUUUUUAUACCAGAUAUUUCCU